rnacentral:rRNA from 1 species
GACGAACGCUGGCGGCGUGCUUAACACAUGCAAGUCGAACGGAAAGGCCCUGCUUUUGUGUGGUGCUCGAUUGGCGAACGGGUGAGUAUCACGUGAGUAACCUGCCCUUGACUUUGUGAUAACUUCAGGAAACUGGGGCGAAUACCGGGUAGGAUCUCCUGCUGCAUGGGGGGGGUUGGAAAGUUUCGGCGGUUGUGGCUGGACUCGCUGCUUAUCAGCUUGUUGGUGGGGUAGUUGCUUACCAAGGGUUUGACGGGUAGGCGGCCUGAGAGGGUUACCGGGGACAUUGGGACUGAGAUACGGAGCAGAAGGGUACGGGCGGCAGUAGUGGGGAAUAUUGCAGAACGGGCGGAAGCCAGAUGCAGAAACGCCGCGUGCGGGAUGCCGGCCUUCGGGUUGUAAACAGAUUUCGCAUGUGACGAAGAGUGAGUGACGGUAAUGGGUAAAGAAGCACCGGCUAACUACGUG